UACAUAGGGUGCAAGCGUUAAUCGGAAUUACUGGGCGUAAAGCGUGCGCAGGCGGUUUUGUAAGUCUGACGUGAAAUCCCCGGGCUCAACCUGGGAAUUGCGUUGGAGACUGCAGGGCUAGAAUCUGGCAGAGGGGGGUAGAAUUCCACGUGUAGCAGUGAAAUGCGUAGAGAUGUGGAGGAACACCGAUGGCGAAGGCAGCCCCCUGGGUCAAGAUUGACGCUCAUGCACGAAAGCGUGGGGAGCAAACAGG
rnacentral:rRNA from 1 species